rnacentral:rRNA from 1 species
UGGUGGAGUGAUUUGUCUGGUUAAUUCCGUUAACGAACGAGACGCCGAUUUGUUAAAUAGUAUGACUUGUUGUCUGUAUGGGUGAAACCGACGCUGUGGCGGUGGCGGCGCAAGCCGUUUGCUGCCCGCGGCGGCGGAUCCUUGGCUUACAAGUUAAGACUUCUUAAAGAGACUAGUAGGGAUCACCUAUUGGAAGCGGCGCAAUAACA